AACGAACGUUGGCGGCGUGGAUUAGGCAUGCAAGUCGGGGGAAUUCCCGCAAGGGAGGAACCGGCGUAAGGGGCAGUAAGGCGUGGGUACCUACCCCGGGGUUCGGGAUAGCCGUCCGAGAGGGCGGGUAAUACCGGAUGACCUGGUGACAGCAAAGAUUUAUCGCCCUGGGAGGGGCCCACGUGAUAUUACCUAGUUGGCGGGGUAACGGCCCACCAAGGGGAAGAUGUCUAGCGGGUGGGAGGGCACGACCCGCGCCACUGGCACUGAGACACUGGCCAGACACCUACGGGUGGCUGCAGUCGAGGAUCUUCGGAAAUGGGCGCAAGCCUGACCGAGCGACGCCGCGUGGGCGAUGAAGGCCUUCGGGUUGUAAAGCCCUGUCGGGGAGGAGAAAAGCCGAAAGGUUUGAUCUAUUCCCGGAGGAAGCACGGGCUAAGUUCGUGCCAGCAGCCGCAGUAAUAC
rnacentral:rRNA from 1 species